rfam:Parasitella parasitica strain CBS 412.66 genome assembly, contig: contig_10750
GUUGCUAUAGCUCAGUGGUAGAGCGAAAGAUUGCAAAUCUUUAGGUCCCGUGUUCGAGUCACGGUAGCAACU